rnacentral:ncRNA from 1 species
CGGCUCAACACAUCCCGGGGCUGUAGAAGGUCCCAAGGGUUUGGCUGUUCGCCAAUUAAAGUGUUACGUGAGCUGG